UAAAACACCACUUCUCAUUCGAUCACUGAAAUUAAGCAAUGUCGUGCCUGAUCAGUACUUAGAUGGAGACCACUUGGGAAUACCAGGUGCUGUAAG